UACGCAGGGUGCAAGCGUUAUCCGGGAUCACUGGGUUUAAAGGGUGCGUAGGCGGCUUGAUAAGUCAGGGGUGAAAGCCCGCAGCUUAACUGCGGAACUGCCUUUGAUACUGUCGAGCUUGAAAGAGGUUGAGGUCAGCGGAACGUGACAUGUAGCGGUGAAAAGCAUAGAUAUGUCACAGAACACCGAUUGCGAAGGCAGCUGGCUGGACCUACUUUGACGCUGAGGCACGAAAGCGUGUGGAGCGAACAGG
rnacentral:rRNA from 1 species